UUUGACCUAUUUUUUGGCUUGUAAAUGACUGGGUCUAAAUUCCCAGCCAGAGACUGAAGAUAUUGUUUGCUGAUCUAUUGUAUAGGAUUGCCUUGAAAGAGUUAGCAUUUGUCUUAGGUGAGUCACAGAUUGCUCUGAUGAUGGAUGUGUGCUUUGGUUUGCUCUUAGUGCAUCUUUCUUGCUCUCUAUGUGCAUGUAUGACCAUAAAUAUAAUAUAUAUACACAAAAGAAUUGGUUUGCUUUCAUGGCAUACCCUUUGAUCUCUGGGGGGAAUUGUUUUUUAAAGAACCACUAUUAGUCAAUCAAAAGCUACUGAGGCAGACAGAAAGAAACUACCAAAAGUAUUUGAAAUAGAGGACAGUUUAUUAUUUAGGGCAAUGGGAUAAGGGUGCAGGAGAGUGGAAGUUUAAGUGCUGAAUCAUGUGGAUAUGCUUAGUAUGUAAAAUUGUUUAAUCUAUGUGGUGACUCAGUUCCUUGUUUAUGACAGGAGGACAAAGCUUAACAGCCUUGUUAAUAAAAUAAAAUCUAUAAAUCCAUAUGAAUGAAUAUGGAAUAUGGUCGUGAAGGUGAUGGCAACUUACGCAGAAUUUAUCCAGUUUAUCCCUCCCAGCCAGACCUUGCAGCUGGAGAUCAUUUUGGAUCCUGCCUUAAACAAUAUUCUGUUGAAGAUCUUGUAAAAUGCUGGUCUCUGUGGUACCUGUUCAAACUGAAAUUAGGUCCUCAUUGGGUUGUGACCUAAGACAAUGAAAUGAAACUAAAGAUGUAGCUCCAAAUGUACAGCUUUUGGGCAAAACACCAAAGUAGUUGUCCCAGAACAAAAUAGUCUCUAACAGAGAAGUGUUUGCACCAAUCAAAUACAUUAAUGAAGGAAUGCAAUUUUUUGAAGGUUCAGUUUGAAAGGUGUUUUGGAAGAACCUAAAUUUGCUACACAACUACUGUUCAGCUGCAGGCUAUGGAUCCUUAAGAUCUACUUCCAGAGAGUACCAGGUGCUAUUUAACAUGAAAUAAGGGUUUUCUCUCAAUCUGAAGUUCAAUUGCCCAUAUCUUCUCUAUCCCACCCUCAGUUUCCUGAGUCACAAGGAUGUAUCUUGUACCUGUAUAUUAAUGGCAACAUUUGGUUUCUGUUACAAACCUCUCUUCCCACAAGUACGUGGUGGUGUCGUGUAGAACGCACAUUCCCAUAAUCAUUUCAUAUGUUUUCAGUCUUAAAAAUAAAGUUUAUAUAAUGAAAAUACAAUAUAAUUAUACACAUGGGAGUUCUGGUUUGGAAGAGGUUCAGCAGAAUUCUUUGAUAAAACAAGCCCCCGACCACAAAAGCUGCAUGCAGUGAUUUGACAGUCAAACAUGUAUAAUCACUUAGUCUAAAUUAAAGGCAGUGUCACCACGGUAAGAGCAGCACACUGAAAUCUCUUCUGUCACUUUUGGCCAGCUAGUGACAAAUCCUGUAAACCUAACCAAAAUGCAUCCUCGAAUAAACUUUGAGGAACUUUUUAAAAAGGUGCUUGGGGUGGUGGGUUAUAUAAGGAAAAGGGAGUGCAAAAUAUCUUUUUAUACAGGUUUAUUAUAAAAUAAUACUAAUUGAUACUAAUUGACCUCUCAUCAGCCUGAUCCUUUUUUAUUUUUUCUUUUUUUUUGUUUUGCACCAAUUUCUAGUGUCCAGAAAAGGACAAUUUUUUUCAGAGAAAAAAAAAAAAAUCUCAUUAGGCAGAACAGAGAUGUCAAAAUCUGUGAAGGUCAACACACUAUGGUUUCUAGGUGAGGUUUGCAAUUUGGUGUUCCUGGCAACAUCUCUCUGCAAAGCACAUGAGGGCUUUUUCACUCCACCAAAACUGCCCCUUUGAGCAGAAAGUUCAUGGGCAAGAUGCUCCAUGGGUACAGAAUUUUGCAGCUCCACUGAGAGCAGCAGGAGGAUGCUGAUUUACCCCAGAUACGAAUCUGGUUCGCAGUGUGUCUCAGUCUGAAUUCACAGAGUGUGUAGUAAUGUGAAACAAGGAAGUGACUUUUGUGAAAAGCAUUUUUGGAAAGGAAAACCAAAAAUGAUGGAUGUACCACUGGGGCAGAGGGAGUGGAGCCUGCUUCAAAGAAGGCCUUGUAGAGCUGCCAAACUUGCCACAAAAUGGGCUGCUGCCCUCCGAGAGGAGGGGGAGGUUUCUCCAGGACAAAUGCAGCCACACCAAGCACCCUAAUAACCUCUUUGCAGAUAUUUUUAUGUACCAUCACAUCAAAACCAGACAGAACUUCCAAAACAUUUGAAUUUGACCCAUCACUGAUUAAUGGAAGGAGGGGAAGGAGAAUGGGUGGGAAGAAUAGUCAUUGUGAACUGCCAUAACACUGGGCAGCAAGCCAUGCUAUUCAACAAAUGAGACAAUACAUUAAAAAACAAAACUCUGUUUUCAGGGGCCUUCUAUAUAUAUCAAGAGCUUGAUUCACAGACCACUGAAGUUAAUGGGAAUCUUUCCUGUGACUUUAACCAGCUAUUGGCCCUGCUAUUACAAAAGAGGAAUUAAUAUAAGUUCGCACUCAGAGUUUCAAUUAGAAGAUUGUAAAGUAGAAUAAAACAUUGGUACUUAGUUGCUAAUUGAAUCUAAUCAGUCAGAAUGCACACUCAUUUUGCCCACCUGUCUGUAGUGUAUCUUACUAUUGGAGCUAUUAGCAUAAGCCAAUAGCAGAGAAAAGAUUAAAAAGAAUUUUGCCCACCUGUCUGUAGUGUACCUUACUAUUGGAGCUAUUGCCAUAAGCCAAUAGCAGAGUAAAGAUUUUUAAAAAGACAAAAAGUGCACACGAUGACAAGAAAAAUAGUUAAUAAUUUGUGUUCCACCUGAUAUUUAGAGCUCUGAAAACAUAAUUAGUUGGGGGUUUGAGGGAGAAAAUCUGAUUUUCAAAUAUUGGAUACCUUUUUAUAGCUUCUUUCUGUUUCUUUCCCUCUGGAAGCAAUUAGCUCAAUCAUAUUACAAACCUUAUGUCUUCUGCUAUGCAAGUGACCAUAUUGCCAUUCCAGUUAAAUGUGCAGCAGUCCUUUGUGAAGAACAGGAUUGUUCAUUUCCAUAGGAGUCCAAGAUGGGGAGAGUAAAUCAUCCUCUUCCUGAUCCAACUGAGCAAAUGGAAAAGGUGACCCUCCUCCUUUUGCCAUGACUCUAUUGGAGGUCCUGCCUCGACCAAUCUGCUGGCAGAAAGGGCAGGAUGAAACUUUGCAAAUUGCUUAGCUGUGCAAAGUUAAAUUCUCAGUCUAAUUAGGGGAAUUAAUUUCUCCUGGGAGCUGUAACAAAUUUUACCCAAGUUAGCUCAUCAGGAAAGGCCAAGCUGUGAGGGUACCUGUGACAGCUCGCUGCUUCCACAGGCAAAGAGGGGCAGUCACCAGGGAAAAGGAAAUCAAUUCCUCAUGCCCACUUAAAGGUAUUUCCUCCAGGAUGUUCUUGUACAGAAUCUCUGUAAAUACACAAGACAGUAAUUAGAUCCUCGGACCUGUUCAGCAAAGCUCUCUUUAUCAAGCUUAAAGUAUGCAUAAAACUCAACAGUUUUCCAGAUAAUCUUCACCACUGCCAGAUAAUUUUAACCAUCUUGGCACUUCCAUUUUGCCAAGGGCUUCCCUGGUAUGGCUGGAGUAUAUCCCACAGUACUUCUCUCUGUCUUUGGGAAUUUGAGGCUGCAGCUACACUGAUUCCACCAGAUCAGCAGAAAUACUUGUGUUUUCCUUCACCCAUCACUUCUUUUCUCUCUUAUAUUUGUGACCUCAUUAAUAGAAAAUUGAUAUUUAGUGUCAUUAAGGAUCAGGACUAAAGACAUUUGUGGAGCAGAACUUUGUCAGUGAGCCAGUCACAGCUCAACUGAAAUGAUGUUUUGGUGUUUCUACAGCACAGGAAAUGCUUGUAUCACUUUUCCCCUUCCUCUCAUAUGUAAAUGCAAGCAUAUUUAAUAUCCUGGACACUUCCACUUGGUAAUGUUGGCAGAAAGUGACACUGCUGACCUGAAGUGAUAGCUUGACACUGGGAAAUCAAAUGGCAGCAGCAAAUUAAGGUGACACUGAAGUUACUGUAAAUAUUGUCAUUCCUUCCAUGGCAAUAUGUGCCAGUAAAGAAAAAAAAAAUUCUCCUCAUCAUACUUCAUGUAAAUAUCACAAGGAUUAUGUCUGUGUUUCAUCCAAGAAAUGCCAGCUUCAGCAAUUUCAGUGUAGUACACUAGAACAGUUCAUAUCCAUUGAAUUCUACACUUAUGGACACCUGAAAUACCACAGAGGUAGAUGUUGCCACUUUUCACUCUUCAUGGCAGAAAGGUUUUUUCUUUUAUUUUGACUUUUCUGUCUUUCUGAAAGCAUUUUUUUCUCUCUCUUUUUUUUUUUUUUUUUAUUGGAGAAGAAAUGUUUAAUCUGUUUAAUCUCCUUGUUUAGGGCCAGCAGUAGUUCCUCAUUCAAAAGCCAGUGCAGAGGUGCUCACUAUAUCCAACUGACAUUUUUUCUCUUACUCAGGUAAAGGUUCUCAGCAUGUACUGAAGUUUAAAUACAAACUUUAGCUCAGAUUGGGGUACUUUCCAAAGCAAAAUCCUAAAUUGCUCCUGCUAAAAUUUGGGGGGAAAAAAUGUAAGGAGAAGCUAAGAUAAUUGCUGGGAAAGGUAGAUUCCUGGAGAAAGGCAAACAACCUGGCUCCCUGUUGACUUUGCUUGGGUCAAAGGGAAAAGGUGAGUCACUGGCUUCUGCUUACAUUUUUUUCUUUCAUCUUAUUGAUGUCAGGAAUAUGAGUCCAGCUCUCCAAGGUUUUCUGCCCGAGUUCCUCUCUUUGCUUGCCUGCCUUCCCAAAACCAGUCCAUUUCCUCUCUUUUAUCUUGCACUGCAACUUUCAGAUCUGCUUGUUGAAGAGGCUCGAGCUGACUCUGUGCAGAGGUAAUGGCUGCUUGAAGGAAGAGCUAAAUGUUCAUUUAUAAAAGCAUUUUAGCACACGAGUAGGUAAAAGGGUUCCAGCUACAUUGCAGGAAAACAGGCAUUUUCAUUCUUCCUGUUUUUCGGUAAGUGCGUGAAGUAAAUGAUUUGAUAUUUGGAAAAUAAAGAGGCGCCUACAUCUCUGUUUCAAGAACUGCCUGGAUGGGAAUGGUUGCUGCUGGUGAACUUCCUUGUAAGUGUAGAAGUUUCAUGAUUGUCUCAUAUGAUUUGGCUUCACAAUUGCUGAUAAUGGUCAGGGUUUCCACGCAGGAAGGAAUGUUGGAGCAUCAGCAGGACUGUGGCUGCAGGGCUGGUGCCAAGGGCAGGCCCCUCAAACCCAGCACGGUUCCACAGUGACCUUCCAGCAGGAUCUCUGGGGCUUCUCCUGGGAAGGACGUGGGGCUCUUGGAUGUGGGACCACUGGCGGAGGUGGGACAAGCUGCUAAUCCUGAGCAACCCCACACACACCCACUGCACACCCAGGCAGACUGGACGUCCAGUCCCCAGCCUCCUCCAUCUGCUCUGUGGGUCCCUUUUGGCAUAUCUCCUUUUUAAAGGCAGCGAUUAUGCGCAAAUCAAAUGAGUCUGUCUCUUUAGGUCCAUUAAUUAUUACAUUCCAUUUACAUUUUCUGUUUACUUUUUCCCUUCUCUGUGGAAGCUAUUGAAGGUCUGAUGAUUCAGAAUGCUCUGGGAACACUAUGUGGCUUUCCUUCUUGUUUGCCCAUUGUAACAGAGCUCAUUUUUCAGUGGAGGUUUCCCAUUAUUUCCAGGAAAAAUGUGGUCAAACCCAUGUACUCCCAAACCUUUUGAUCUCCUGAAUCCUCUUCAUAUCCCAGAUAAAAAAGUCAGUGAUUAAGACAGAGUUCCUAAAAGGACACAUAGUCAGGUUUCCCUUUGACCAAAAUGGUUUCCCAGUGAAUCAAACCUUUCUCAGCUCAGGGGGGGCCCGACAAUAGGCCCUGAAAAGAUGGAUAGAGCAAUUGUCCUGCUUAGUGAUCCACGAAAGGAAAGGGGUCCUUAGUGAAGGCAGACCUACAGUAAGUCUGACCUGACACUGCAGGAGUAAGACAAUGAAAGGUCAAGGAGACUAACGAGAGGAAAAAUGCAGACAAUGGGUGCCACAGCCAGCACACAGCCCCUGCCACGCAGACUAUGGGGCAACAGCCCUAACUGCCUCAGACAUGUGAAGGGCAACUGAAGCGGAAAGAACUUGAAGUUUCCUUCUUAAGAAUUGUGGCCCAGCAUCUCCAGGAUUUACCCAGGCCUCACAGAGAGGUCAAAGUGAUGCAGCUAGGCCUGAGGUGAAUGGAAAAUAAAGAUUAUCUAAUUGGGGAAGAGAAAAAUAUAGAUGUAUUUUAGACCGAACAAAAAGGGCAACUGCUUGACAGUUGGGAUCUGCAGCGAGUUCCCAAGGCAUUUCGUGGGAGGAACCCCCCAAAAAAGAGAAAGCUUUUGCCCAAUUAUUUGAAAAAAACCCCAACAACUCAAUAUUGAUAUAUGUGGGACUUGCAACCAUCAUAUUUUUUUCUGCAAGAACAAAAGAUCCAUAGUUUACAGUAUCUGGGGCUCAACUGAAUUUCCUUCAAGCACCCAGCAAUUGUUUCUUUCUGUGUGUGAAAGAAUCCUGGUCCUUGUCAUCUGUCUGGAGACAAAAAGGAGAAAUCUCUGUGGCUUCUGCAGGCAUCCCUGUCCUCAAAGGCAUCUCCAUUAUUGCUUCUUGUAGCUGGGCCUUACCCUCCUGGAACAGCCCUUUCUUCCUUAGGUCAGACCUAAGUGCUACUUUGAGUGUGUACACCAGCAAGACAAAUUUAGUUUAGUUAACAAAUAACACUUUAAAAGCUUCAUCAGAGGACUCAGAAAGAAAGUCUACCUCAAUUAUAUUUGUCAUAAUAGCUGAAUGUUUUUUCCAUUCUAAACCACAUUUUUCAUCUUUUCAGUGUCCGGAUCUUUUGACAGCAGACAGGAGCAUUGAGGUUUGUCAGUUAUCAUUUCUGUGGCAGGAACUGGCAGGUGGAAUAGACAUUUUCUUACCCAUAAAAGCAAAAUAAAGUGGUAUUUUGAUAUUUGACAGGUUCAGGGAAGACAACUGUUCUUCUGUGGAACCUUGCACAAAAAUUGCACUUUCCCAACAUUGCUAAAAUCAGAUAUAGCUGUAGAGAGAAGGAAUUGGGAUGGUAGUGUUGGUUGGAGGAUGGCACAUGGAAGUUAAACAGUGGACCUGGAUUUUAUUCCCAGGUCAAUUGCUGGCUUGUUGUGUGAUCCCAGACAAAGCCCUAGAGCUCCUUCUGACUCAUCUUCUCUGCCUGGAAAUCAAAUCCAGUUUCUUAAGGAACUUUUUGGAUCUUGGGUUAGAGGUACAGCAGAUUAUUACUUUCACCUAUGGAUUCUAUUCUGUUAUCAAAGGAAGUGAAAAUGUAAGAAUCAUGAGUUGGGUUGAGGAAUGGUGUGAAUUUCAACUGGCAUUAAGCAACAAAUGAAAAUUACAAUUGAAGAAUAAAAUACUUUUCCUUAUUCUGAGAGGAUGGCUGAAUCAAACCAAAAUUCUUUUAAAAGCCGUCUCAAUUGGAAACUAUUAGGUAAUUUCUUUGGAGAGUGGGGCAGGGGGUAGAUGAUAUUCCUUCUACAAUUACUGAGCCUUCUAUAAGUGAAAUGAUCUCUUUGCAUUCCAGUGAUGACCCCAGCCAUGGAUGAAAGCUGAGUUUCCCAUCUGACCUCUUGUUUUAAGUUUCCACCUGUGUAACUCUGCAUUGUGGAUAUUAACUCUCUAGAGCCUGUAGGUGAGCACAACGCUGAGAGAAAAUGAAAGGUGGAGCUCUCCUUUAAGGAACCUGAAGUGUAAGGAGUGUCAUUCCCAGAGUUAACUCCAUUUGUGCUGGAAUUCCCCUGGAGAUCAAAUUCUACAGUGGUGACUGCUUACAAAACCUGUGGGGCUCCAAAAACCCGGACAGGGAGGAAGGUCAGCUCCACUGAGCUGGGUUACAGUUCAUGACUUGCCCAAGGUUACACAGGAAAUGUGUGGCAGAACUCAGAAUGGAAACCAGAUUUCGCGCUCUCUUGCCUUAACAACAAGCAAACACUAUUAGGAAGUCUGGGGAUUUUUAAGACUCUUUCCAUUUGCCAGUGGCUUGAAAACUGAACUCCAUGAUGAAAAUUGAGCCCCAUGAUGAAAACUGAACCCCAGGACGGAAACUGAACCCCCUGAUGAUUAGAACUUUAUUAAAUAAAAGUGCUAAGAGAUGAGAUGCUGAGCAGUGGCACAAAGAGGCAUCCUCAAUGUGAGCAUCCCCCGAAGAACUCCGUGCAGAACUCCACAUUCUGCUUGCCAAAAUAAAAAGAGGGAGAAGAGAGACAGUGUGUUCCAGCUGUUCACCCAGAUGCUCAUGCACGAUCAUCCUCACUUCUCCAGUAGAAAUCUGUCAUCCUAAGUCUCACUGCAAGUCCAGCAAAAAAACAGCUCUCGACAACAUCUGCAGAGGAAGUGGCUCCCUCCUGAUGCUUUUCGGGGCUGCCCGGGGGCUCUGCUUUCUCUCCCAGCCCGGAGCCCAUCACCCCCAGCAUGAGGGUUUGCCUCCUGGACCUGUCGCUUGCUUUUCAGAUGCAAAGCGGGCAACUCCUGCCCCAGACUUUGUCAUCUUGAGAUUUGGCUGCGGUGAAGCAAUCCGAGGCAGGGCAGAGCUUGCAGAAUGCAGUGCAGAUGGAGGAAUGGCUACACAACUGGGUUUUCAUGUCGGGAGCCUCAGGUCCAGUGGUAAUUUAUGCCUGUGCAGUCCCAAAGGCAGAUAAUGAACAUGUGUUACAUUUGCUGUGUGAAUGCCGAGAUGUUAAAGAACAGCAGGCUGUAACAAAACUCUAGGAAAAGCCAUAUCCUGCUGUCAUUUCAUAAUGGACAUGAGGUUUGACCAAAGCACAAUGUGGGAUGUGUGGCAACUUUUGCACAGGACUAGCUUGGAGGGACUUUUUGGAUAAUGCACUGAACAUCUUCAGAAAGUGAAGCUAAUGAAAAAAUGCUCUAACCAAAGCCCGGUGAGAUCCAGAUUUUUCCUUCUCAGGGAAUGUCCUAUGGUUGAGUUUUACUUCCACUCCUAAUGAAAGCAAUAAAACAAUCCAGAAAGCUAUUACAAAGCAUGAUUAUGAAUAUAGUAAUUGUUGGUCAAUCAAGUGAUUUGUUUGAAUAAAAGCUAAAUAUUUAAUUUAGAUGUCAACUUGAAAUAGUAUGGAAAAUAGGGGGAAGUGUUUUGCAAUGUAAAAUUGAAAAUGUCAUUUUGAAAAUGCAGUAACAUUCAAUUUUCAGCAAGCCAAUUCUUUUGCUUUUCUCUUCAAAAGGAACAUUAGUCAAGCUCAUCACUGUUAGGCAGAUGUUUUGUUUUCUUGAAUUGGCAGUUUCUAAGAGCUAAAAUGUAACUGUCUUGUAUGUUAAAUACCAAAAGAUAUAUUUAAAAGGUGAUGUAAUCCCAAGGAGUUAAAAGUGUUGCUGAGAACCUAUGCUAUCCAAAAAAUACCAGAAAGAGUCCUACAGUUGAAGGUUUGGAUUUUUUUCCCUUGGUCAGAAAUAUUUGUACAGAUGAAAUUAUAAUAAGGAUCAGAAAAAGGUUUAAACAAUUGCACUGAUUUUUCCCUGGGUCUAGAACUUCUGUUUAUCAGAUGGUAUUUUUUUACCGAAGUGGAACAAGCCAGAAUGCUUUGUCACUUUUAUUUUCACAGGCUAAGUCUAAGAAAAAGCCCUAAAAUAUUUCCUGGCCAACUGAAACGGUAUCCUAGAGGAGUAGGUGCUUGUUGGUGAGGUAAAUAAUGUUUUCUGGUCAAGUCCAGCUGCAGCUGUUUGGGUUUUUAGCCAUUGAUUUGCAUGGCAGCCUGGUGUAGCGGGGAGAGAAAUCAGCCCCGAUGAUACCUGUGGGAAGCUGCUCUUCUUGGGGCUGCAAUUAAGCUCCACAAUAGCUUUUGGGAAUCAAUGGGAAUUAAAUGCAGAUAACAGGCAUUAAUGGAGCAUUUAUUGGAAAUAAUUUAAAUGGUGUUUAGUGGUGGCUUAGUUAAUGGAAAUUAACGACUAACUAGGGUUUGGGUACAGGCAGAACUGCUGGAAUGCAGCGAAAGUCAAUACAGGCAGCUCCAAAUGGCAGGGGUAAGGAAGUGCUUAUUGAUAUUAGUGAUCUUCAAUAUUUUCCAUUGGAACUAUAAUCUGAUUCAGGCCGUGUUGCUGUGGACUUCACCCAGAGCACAGGGAAAACAAAUUGUUAAUGAUAUUGUAAAUGCAAAGUGUCACUAAUCUAGUAAGUUGCUAUGCUGGAUAUUGAAAUAAUUAUUGCAGUAGAUCAUUCUUAAUUAUAGUUUUGUAUUUACAGACAAACUGAAACUGAGGCUGGUAUUGAUUAAAAGAGGUGCCACAUUGCAGACUUUUCUAACCCUGUAACUAUAUUGUUCUUGAAUUUCAUACAGUGUAGCUUAGCUUUUUACAUCUGAUUUGAAUUACUUGAAUGUCUUAAAGAUCUGUGUUCCAACCAGAUGUGAGAAAUGGCUUUGGUUUGGAAAGUUUCAAGGAAGGACCACCAAAUAAUGAAGGAAAAACCAACUCUCUAUUAUUUUCCCCCUAUACCUCAGUGGAAAAUAUAAAAAAAUAGUAUCCUAAUUUAUUAAUACAACUUGGGAUCCUGUCGGGAAAAUGUUCCUUACAUGCAAAGUUUCUUUAUCUUUCUUUCCAGCCCAAGAUUAUAUACUGGACUUGAUAAACCUCUGUAACUGAGAGACUUAAACAUUUCUACACAUAGUAAUACUAUUUACUGUGCUUCAUACAUGUUCUGUCACACAGCCAACACUUUAACUAGGCAGAAUUUCUCUAGUUAAGUACUGCUGGUUUAACUACAAUAAUUGGCUGUACUGAGAGAAUACAUAUAGCCCAGUUAACUGUAGUAGAGCCACAGACGUUUUUUUUUCUCUUUUUCUUGUCAUUAAACUUCUACAUAUUAUUUAAAUUUAGUUAUUAAAAAAUAACUAAAAUAUUCAGUUUAAUAUGAAUUCAUUACCUUUUAACAGAAAGGCUUGUAUAUAAUUUCCUGUAAGGAAUCAGAUCAUGUGCUAAAUCUGCACCACAUUUUGUUUUGUUGUCUCUAUUUGAGAGCAGUACUUUAUCUCUCAGAAUCUAUUCUCUUUUGCAAAGUUAUGUGAUAAAAAUUAGAGACAUUCUAGUUUCCAAAAUUUUCUCUACCACUUUUGGAAAACCUUCCAUUCCUGUGAAAUUCCCAUCGGUGAACUGGGAAUGACUGCUAGAAACUGACCACAAAAAGAGUGUGAGUAAAACAAAGUGAAAUGAUCUACAAAGGGUAAAUAAAGGUUGGAGAUUUCUUUGGAAAUAUUUACAGAGCUCUGUUGAACAUGUCACUGAAAUCUGGAAGAAUUACCUUGUUUGUUAUGCCAUAUAACAAUGUUUCAUAAUGGCAUGAAUUUCAAGCUAGUGGUAAAAGCUGCAAUAAGCAGGUUACUAUUACCUCACAAAGAUAUCAUCUGUACUUCCUUGAGAGAAGUCCAAGGAGUACAGAGACCACAUUUCAAGUACUAAAAAUGGCUGGAGAAUAUAAUUGGCAUUAUUCCUUUUCAUUAUACCUGGUGAUUUGUUCCAGGAUUUACAGUCUUGACCUUGAUGUGCCAUAAACAGAGCCUUCAUUUAAAAGGGAUUAAGGCUGGUUAUGUGUGAUAACCCACCUUAACACAAAUGCUGUCUUUUAGAAGAUGCCAAGUUAUGGAACACCCCCUGCCCAUUCCAUUGCCAAUGGCUACAACACUGCUUUGGAGAACACCUCCUUGCCACCCAGGGAAAGCAGAACAUCCUAGGGAUGAGUCUUCCCAGGAUCUAAACCCCUGUCUUAGGAAGGCCAUCCACAGCACCAUUAUUUGUGAUUGACAGACGUGGCAGUGCUUUCUGCAUUACUGAAGUUCUUGGGGCAGAGCCUCAGUCAAGAGACCCUCCCAGGGGUGAUUCAACCUCAAUUCCACAGUCUCAUGAAGUCAGAGCUUUGGCUUGUGAUUUGGGCAAGGUUCAGCCCAACUUCACACAGAGUGUGGCCUCCCUGGCUCCCAAACUGGUGCUCAGGUCAGGUCAGCUCAGAACUAAAGAGCUGGAACUGCCUGUACAUCUGUUGAGUCCCUUAAAGUCUGAAGUACAAACCAUAAGGGCAACCAAAUGCUAAGAAUUAAACCUUUUUUCUACACACAGCUCUCAGCUGAACCUGGUCCUGAUUGUUGCUCCUCUCCAGCAGGAAUUCUGGGGAAAAUGGCCAUUUCUCUGGAAAUUGCUUCCCACAUAGCAUGCACACACACAGACAGGGGGUUGUGAAAUUGCACCUUCACCCAGGGUUUUGUUACAGGCUGGGUUAAGCCCUGUUGAAAAUGGUAGGUUUAACCACCGCCCUUCUCUUCAGCGGCGCUGGAGGAGACAGUUCAGCACAUGUUCCUGCCCAAAACAAAGGCGCAUGUAAGGUUGCCCAGGAAUUCCAAAGAUCUGGGUGGGGAACCUUGCAGAGUUUGUUUUGGGCAGGGAUGCAUGUGGAAAAAAGGCAGAGCAGGCUGAGCAGCAGAGAUGGGGCUCAGAGCAAGCUGGGAGGAAGGUGGGCAGCCUGCAGGAGCCACGCUGGAAGGAGCCUGGAGAGAGGGAUUUCAGUCCCUGAGCUUUCCUGGGCAGCAGGACCAAGGAAACCUUCUCCCCUUCCAUUAGAGAGGAAAAGUGAUUUAGCAGAGGUUCACAAGUGGGCAGCUGUGAAUCCAGGCCUGUUCAAAGCUGUACACAAUUGCAGUCAUCUCAAGUACCAAAAAAUUGGGUUAAGCACGCAAGAAAGUGGAAUCAAGAGAUUUGCUUGCCUGUGUUCCUGGAAAGCAGGGCCAGAAUACGUUGUCACUACCUCCAGCCAUUACAGAAUUGUGAAAGUCUGCUUACUUUUUAGGCCGAAAAUGAGACAGUUUAAGGAAGCCCUUACAGGUCCAUUUUUAUAUUAAUUGAAAGUCACAGUCUGAACAAGAUUAUUUGAAAAUCCCCAGACAAUUCACCUUCUACUGUGUGGACUAUGAACAGUGAAUUCAGUAAAUUCUGUAUACAGCUGGAACAAAGUGUCUGAGACCUUCUUUAGUUAAUAAAUGUAAGUGAAAUAUUUGAACAAUCUGAUAACAAACACUCAGACAGGCACCAGACUGCUUAUUUAAGUCACAGAUGUAACAAGAGCUCUGGAAGAUUUACCUGUGGUAGGACUGCAGAUGUGGUUACUCAGAGAUUUUUGGUCAGAUUUUCAAACUCAUAUAACUGUACUUUAUUUCUGUAUAUUUCAGCUGGGGCAGCACCCUUAUCAUUGCAGAAACAGGGAUUUACAGCCCUUUAUUCCCUCCAUCAUUCACCUUGAACGCCAUGCAGCCCUCACUCCUAGAGCUGCUGAUAUAAAGAUAGUCAUCUUUGGAGUGAACUUCCUAGGAACCAAGUCCUCCUCCAGCUGGAGGCAAUGGAAAUGCUGUUGCUGACUUCAGUGGCAGUAAAUCUCAGCUCUAUCAUUUUUUAUGACACCUUGCGACAGAUAUGUUUACUGGAGCAUUCACUGCUAAUUGCCUGCAUUUUUCCCCUUCAUGUUAUUAAAUGCAAUUUGUAACAUAUUUCUCAUUUUUUAACAAGAAAAAAUAGCAAGUUAUGGAAAGAAAGGACUGUCUAUGUUGAGCAGAUCUCUUAAAUAUUGAACUUAUCUCAUUUGUCUUCCUUUUCUUUAUCCAUCCAUUUAAAAGGAAGAUGUUUAUGAUGUGAGGUUUGGCAAAUAGCUCAUAAAAAGUAAAUCUUAUUUUGUUGUGAUGCAGAGAGAGGGGAGGGAGAAAUCCUGUAAUUUCAGCAAUUUCUUUUUUUUUCACACUAAGUUACAACUCAGCCUGAGUUGAAAUGACAGAUACCAAUCCCAAGAAUCAAGAUUAUCAGUGGAAAUGCCAACUGACUCCUCAGAACAGCGCUCUUAGUGGCACCACUCUUUUACUGGAGUGAAUCCAAAGGGGGUUUGCUCUCAAAUCAAGCAUUAUGUUCUCACUUUUCUAAUCUCACAUCAUUUAUUUGAAAGCAAUUGUUUCCCCUGAUUCACAGCCAUCCCCAUGUGUGUGAUCGGAAAAAUUAAUGUGCCAUAUUUUAUCUGCCCCUGGGUAUCAGUGCUCAAGGUGUUGAUGCUGAUGUGGGAUGAGGAUGCUCAGCACUUCUCCAAGCCAUGGACACAGUGAAGGUGGUGACUAAGAGCUCUUAUAAAUGUGCUUUGGGGUUCUGGUGUUGCAAUCCAAGGCUGCCCACGUGUUGUUUUUGUGUCUCAUUUCUUCACAGAGAACUGCCGCUGGUUCUGUCAUUUGUUAAUGUUUCCAUGAUGAACUUUCCAUACUAUUUUUACUUGAUAAUUCUUAACUAAGGCAGGAAUUCUGCUUUCAGCAGAGCAGGAUAAAGCACUGACCUCCACAGCACUGAAUGUUUGUCCUCUUCUCCUUCCUCAUCUACCAAAUUCCACCUUGUGUGGACUCAUCAGACACCGGGAACAGAGCUCUCCUCACUGAACGUGGAGUGAGAUACACUCUGAGCUCUGUCACUCCCCUUCCCUGUGGAGAUAAUGGGAAAAACCAGAAAACUGUAGGCUGUGAUUCACCUUACCUGUCCCAGACAUCUGGGAGAACUGAGAGCCAACAGUGCCUCACACCGUGCUGAUCGGUUCAGAGCUUGCUUGCACUGUGGAUCUCCCCCUGCUCAGCUGAACCCCAUGCCUGCUUUUCUUAAUAUGACCUUAAUUACAAUGUAACUCCAUCUCAAGCCAUUUUUUUUGUGAUUUAUACAAAUUUCCAAACCUUUAAUCUGCUUGUCUUGGAGGCAUUUUAAUAAAUGGGUGCAUCACAGGAUUUCAGAAAAUAACUGAAGUCACCACAGGACAAAGCAGCACUGACCACACACUAAAAGCUGUCCCUCUGUCUCUCACUGAAAUGAACAUUUUAGUAUCAGCAGGAAGGAGUAUUCCACAGUUGGGAUCUGGUAAGGUGGUCACAAUCUUCUGCAUGGACUCACUCAUGAUAGAGAAGGAUUCUUUUACAAACAAGAAGAUGUCAUGCUGCAAACAGAAACCAAGGAAGUUCUUUUGUUACAAGAUGUUAAGUGACAUGGUUAGUACUUCUGCCUUGAGUGGUUUGGGUUUCCUUUAAAAAUUAAGGCGUGAAAUUAGUUUCUUGGAUCCUGUCUAAAAAGCCACAGAGCCUCCUAGAUUAAAUCCUGUCCUUCACUUAUUUUUAUUUUAAAAACCUUGCUUAUCUGUAAUUUCUGCCAGUGGCUUUAAAGCAGAUUGCCCCACAGUUCUGAAAGGUGACAGAGUGAGAUGUCACUCAAUAGGGUUGGCAUUAUCUAGAUUCCCUUUUACUGCUUAAUUUUGCUAACUAGGCUGUCCAAAAUCCCGGUGAGCACCCAAACCCAAACUUUGCAGACAUGAACUUUUGCCACCAACCAAAUAAAUCUCUCAUUUUGAAUACAGAAAAAUCUAACUUUCCAUCUGAAUUUUGGAGUCUGGGUUUCCCUCUACUUCCUGCCAGAGAGCAUUGUUACAGCAACUCCUUGCAGAGUUCCUGUCUAAUUGAGCCACUAGUGGCAUGCAUAUGUGCUAAAUAAAGGAAUGUUAUUAAAAAUUUAUGAGUGACUUACACUUUGAAGCAAUAGAGUGUUAAAGACUUAAAAAGAUUUUUUUUCCUUCCCCCCCCCCCCCCCCCCCCGCCAUGUCCUUCAGACCAGGAAUUGUUUGCAAUGCACAGAGCUCAUUUGGGAUUUGACCACUGUUAUUAUUAUUCCCUUUUGCAGUGUACUAUGCCCACAUCUUUUUCAAUUUCCAUGAAUAUUGACCAAGAUGUACGCAGUGAGGUGAUGUGAAACCCUCUCAGUGAUUUUCAAACUAUGCAACCCAUAAAUCAUUCACCUUAACCUGGGCCCAGAUUUGCAUGAAACUGGGGGUUGAUUGUCUCAGAAAGUGAAUCCAGCCAGAAGUCCAACCAAUCCCCGCUGGGUGUGAAGCACAGAGCUAAGUUACAAUGGUAUGUUUUGGAUGGCUCCAGGGUUUGUAAUGGAUGCUUUGCACAGCUGUAAUGAUGAGUGGGUGAGAAGAGUUAAGAAUGAAUCAAGUGUGGGUGGUGGAAAUAUUUGCUGGGCAUGUCACAGCCAGGGGAGGAAGCACAGGGGCCUCCCAGCCUCGGUGAUGGGAAAGACGUCAAGGUUCCCUGGACAUGGGCCCUGCUUAUUUAUUUAUUUCAGCUCUGACACGUUCCCUGUAGGAGAGCAAAAAAUGUGAAUUUGAUACCAUGUCUUUUGAAAGCAGGGAGCUGAUUGUGGCUGAGCAGCAGAGCUGUUCUAUAAUCUGCUUCCCAACGUGUGGGUGCCUCUUGGGUUUCCUCAGCUAUUUUAUGGCCCAUUUUCAAAGAUUUUUGUAAAAUCAGGCCAACAACGUCUGCAUCCCCUACCACAUCAGUGAAAAGUUGGACAGUGUUUCAGAGCUAUGUAAAUUCCUUCUAUAAGAAACAUUUACAUUUUUACAAAGUGUAAAUUUAGCAGACCACGGGGUGAAUUCCUCCCUCAUCACAUUGCAGUUGCCACGGGGAUGGGUUGACUAAUAGUUUACCAGGAGUGAGCAGAAAAAAGAGCAGCACGUGUACCAUUACAAAGGUUUCUUCCAGGAUUGCCGUGACUUGUUCAGAUAGUUGAUAAGAUAAUUAAUUCUUACCGUUCGUGUAUUUUCAUGAGAACUUACCUAUGAGUAAACAAAACUCCAAGCCUAGUUGGUGUUUCUUUAUUGUAUUAUUACAUGGCUCUGUAAGUGCAAUAAAGCAAUCUCCCAA